rnacentral:lncRNA from 1 species
AGCUAGAGGGCUAAAGGUCCCCAGGGACUGGAGAAUUCAGUGAUCAGCCAGGCUGCAGAUCAAGGUUGAACUUGGAAGAAAACCACACCUGGUUCCUGGCUUGGAGUUGGAGGCACCUUCUGCUCAGGACUUCCAGCCUUCUGAAAUCUUCCCUCCUUCCCUGGAGAGCUUCCAACUCACCCAGCUAGGCCCUCCCAAGUUGUGGAUGCAUUCCCAGAAUUGGGCCAUCAUGUCCCCACUCCCUCCUUCUCUGAAAAAGCCACCCUAGAAAGCGGAAGAUUCAGAUCGGGAAAAGGCAUGGACCAAUAGCAUGUUUCUGGAGUGAAUAAGGGAAAAAAUGAAUAAAGAAAUGCAGAAAAGAUUGAGUCAAUGAAGGAGAGAGUGAGUGAGCAAAUGACUGAAAGCAGCCAGCGUUGCCGGGACCCUGCCGCAUCUCAUACUGGGUGCUGCACAGGCAGCGUUCCUCCUCUUGUGGCCCUUGGGAAAUAGACAUGAAUCACACACAAACAAAAACGAUGGCAAAUUGUAAUGAGGGCUAUGAAAGGGAGUGAAGGGCAAGAUCACUGAAGGGUUGGACUCAGAAGAAUCCUUUCUGAGGACAUGACCUGUCAGCUAAGACGGAAGGAGGACUUCAGUUGAGAGAACAAGUCAAUUAAUACUCCGUGGCCUCUUCCACUCACUCUCAUGAAUUUGCCAAGUCGCCUGGGGAGAAUGGGGCCUGAACUCUGGACCCUGAGGUCCUUUCUCAUGCACUGAAAGCAGCCCCCCAGCCCUGGCCCCUCCCUGCGACUUGGUGACUUGACUGCCCUAUUCUAGCAUCAUGGAAAAACCAUGGAAGGCCACGUAUAGGGCGGUGGGAGGGAUGCCCAAGGGAGUCACGCAUUUUGGGAGGAGGGGGCUAGCUAGGCUGCAGGAUGAGGGAGUCCAAUUCCAAAGGCCCAUGCUUUUUUAUUUUAUUUUAUUUUUUUGGUGGAGGAUGAGCCAAUAAUGUCUCCCUCCUCACUUUCCACACUGCUCAUGUCAGCUUGUACUACCCUACCCUUUGACCCCAGAUAACCCACUGUAUCCAACCUUCUGUAUGUUUUCUCCUUAAUUGAGUAAUCACUGACAGACACAUUUAAAUUGUAUGCAAGCACACA